ensembl:lncRNA
CUGGUUUUUGUUUUGCCCUUCCAAUCUUUUGUAUGUAAAACAGUUUGAGAUUUUGAAAUUCAAACAUACAUUAUUAUUAUUGUUAGUAGUAGUAGUAGGAGGAGGAGGAGGAGGAGAAGAAGGAGGAGGAGGAAUAGUAGUAGCAGUAGUAGUAAUAGGAGCAGUAAUAGUAGGAGUAAGAGUACUAGUAGGAAGAGAAGGAGAACUAAUAGGCGUAGUAUUGGUAUUACUAGUAGUAGUAGUAGUAGAAGGAGGAGGAGGUGGUGUACAAGUAGUAGUAGUAGUGGUAGUAGAACUAGGAGGAGUAGCAGGAGGAGGUCUAUGAAUAGUAGUGGUGGUAGUAGUAGUAAUAGUAGUAGUAGAAGGAGGAGGAGAAGGUGUAUGAGUAGUAGUAGUAGUAGAAGGAGGAGGUGCAGGAGUAAGAGUAGUAGUAGUACCUGAAGGAGGAAAAGGAGGUGUAUGACUACUAGUAGUAGUAGUAGUAGUGGUAGUAGUAGUAGGAGGAGGAGGAGAGGUAUAUGAGUAUGAGUAGUAGUAGUAGUAGUAGUAAAAGGAGGAGAAGGAGGAGGUGUAGCAGUAGUAGUAGUAGUAGUAGUAGAAGGAGGAGGAGGAGGAGAAGGUAUAUGAGUAUGAGUAGUAGUAGUAGUAGUAGUAGUAAAAGUAAGAGGAGGAGGAGGAGGAGAAGGUAUAUGAGUAUGAGUAGUAGUAGUAGUAGUAGUAGUAGAAGGAGGAG